AGUGAAAAGCCUUCCCUUUGCUGCCCCCUGCCUGCCGCUCCGCCGGGCUGGAAGCAGCGGGGCUGCCGGGCUCCGUCCCCGCUGGCGGCGUGGCAGCGGGGGGAAGGGGCAAGCGCUGGGCACCCCCCGGCACGGGCAGCACCGAGCCCCCGGUACCGGGGAGCAGCCGGGCUGCCGCUCCUGAGCCUACAGGCUGUCCUCCUCCUGCCCCGCCGUGGGGAAAUCAGCAUUGACCACUCCUGUUAACCCCUUGAGAGUUUUUGGUGAUUCCCGAGAGCCGUGCGAGUGAUAACGCGCCUCCUGCACCUUCGUCCCAACAGGACAACCCGCAGCACGACUGCGAGGCGGCAGCGUACGCCCUGCAAAGUUCCCGGUUCUGUGAGAGGAUGAGGCACAAAGGACGGGGAGGUACCGAAGCCGCGCACACCGGCGCCACGCUGCUAAGGGAACCAGAAUUACCAGCCCGCCAGCGCGUGCCUUCCCCGGAGAGCGCGUUGCCUCGCCCAGGGUGUUGCCUUCAUGGAAACAAAAACUGUUUGCCAUUUUCUGGAAAGAUCCUUCCCGUGCUACGCGUCUGAGCAGAGGGCACCCUGCGGGUACAAGAGCAGGGGUGAGGGCACGGUCCCGAGUGGGUGCAGAUAACGAGGGGGCAAAUUCAGCUCCGCUCUGCUGGUAAAUGCUCCAGCAGCCAAAGGAAUCAAUAACGUGGGUGAACUCCUGUAAACCAGCGUGGAAACAGCCUGCACCUUAGGUUUAAAACAAUGAUGAUUUACACGUUGGGAUGCAGUAACGCCAGAAAUGUUUCCCACCUACAUCUCCAGAAACUUUUGAAGUUUCUUCCCGAAUAUUUCAACACGUUUUCCUUCCCCGCUUCCCCAGCUGGGAUCACUUUUGCUGGCACAGACAAUCCUUCCCGGUAUCCAUGGGAAUUGCCUCCAUAAUUAGCAGCGCACCCCGUGCACAGAUCAGAGCGUUGGAGCCCGGCAGCUGGAUCUGGGAGGCGGGCCCGGUGAAAUCGCGCUGCUGCGAGGAGAAAAGCCGGCUUUAAUGAAGCACCAGCGGAGCUCCCUGCCCUGCUCCGCUCCUGUUCCUCCUCAUGAGCUGCUGCUCUUGUGUGCCCAAACUCACCCAAGAGAGUGCGAUCAGGGCCUCGAAACGAGUGAUCUGUCUCAGCCGGAAGGAUCUGAUUGCCAGCAAUGGCAUUUAUUGAAGUGCUGCUCAAAAUACGUCGUCAGAAUUACCAUUUCUGGCAGGGAAACCAUGUCUGAGCUGGGCCCCCUGCCCUGCCCAGCAGCAAGCCUUCGCAUCCAAGAGAGCAUGCGUAUGGCCCACCAACAUCUCCCUUUCUCAUGGAAAAGAAGAGGUUUUUAUAUGGCACACCAAGUCUGCCCUUAAGAGCCUGCUGUACAGAAACGGGAGCUGUGGAAGAGGCAGACGGUUAGAUGGGAGUUAUUCAUCCAACCCAAGCUCUUUUACCUCUAGCGCUGCUUGUACUCGGUGUCACAAAGCCCAUUUCACCUGCGUGUUACCAGCAGGCUCAGAUCCAUGGAGCAGGGCAUGCUUGGGGCAGCGGAAAACCGUCCUGUAAGCCUGCCUCUCUCCGCCUUCUUUAAAAAGUAGGGCUGGGGUGGAGAAGCCCCGUUACAAUUGCAAGUGGUUUGGUGAUUAAGAGCGACUCUUAACAAAUAAUCAUUUUCCUACUGCUUAGGACAGCAGAGGACGCUACGGGGACUGGGCAUCCAACAGGGCUCUCGUCUGGAUGUAAAAGUCCCUGCCUGCCUCAGAAGUUCGCACAGCACGGGCUGAGGGGACGCUAGCACAGUGUUCUCCUACAUUAAAUACAGCUCCCUGUCCUGGGGUGCUCACAAGUCCUCAGAUCCGUAGGCACGCAAAAACAUUUUACCGUUUCCACUGCCGAGGAAGGAAUUCGCUUUGCAAAUCUGGAAGCGAAGACAGGCGAUGCUCACAAAUCUCAGCUAACGGAGGCUUCUGUAAGUGAAGUUUGAACUCAACCCUUGUUGUAAUUCUGUAAUUUGAAUACCAUUUUCACAGACCUUGCAAGAUGCAGAUGAAUGAGAGAUUUCUGGCUUUGAGUCAAAUGCUGCAGUAAUUAAAUGUUUAUAAAACACUUUAAGCUUGUGAAGUGCUAUUAUCAUAUACAAGAAACCAAUCGACUACGGCAGAUUGGAGCAGGAUUUUGAGGCACACCAGCAAACACAGCUCAUUCCCCCUGCUACAUCUCUCUUUUAGAGGUGGUAACAGAGAAUUAUGAAGAACACUGCCAGGUUCCUUUUAUUGUAACCAGAGUAAGUGAAGCCAGAAUUGCUUUCUUUCAUAUGAACAUGUGUGAUUUAGAAGUUUUUCCUUCUCUACAAAUAUCCAAGUCCAUGGCCAGCUUUUGCUGUUUAUCUCCUGAAGGAACUACCCCUAGGGAAACGAGAAAUUGCUGUUACUUCUGAUCUCUCACAUAAAACUGAAGAGGUUCCACCUGUUACAGGUUUCUAACACCAUCUGCUGUUUAAAAGUAAGACAGCAUAGGAGCUACUCAUCACACAAGAGUCUCUGCUUGUUUGAUAAACCAGAAGUGACACCAGCUCAGCUAGAAGGGUUUGGGUAAUUGGCACAUUUCACUUUUGUUCUUUCAACCCUGAACACAUUUCAGCUUGUUCUUAAUUACGAAGUGAAACAUUUCUUUGCUAGAAGACCUAGGAAGCCAACGAGCAGCAGCUGAAAGCCAGGCCCACGCCACGGGACUUGAACCCUCGUCGGCAGCCCUGGGAUCCCGGAGCUGCUCACGGCUUUGUCUGCGCUUGGAAGGCUUCGGCAGGACGCUCGCACAGCGUGACGCUCUCCCAUCGCCACCGCGGACUCUGCUUGUCAGUAUCAAAGCAGGUUUUGAAGCAGCAUCCUUCCACUCCCAAGCCUGACCCAAAGAACAUACUUCAAAAUGUUUUCUUAAUAGAGAGCCAUAAACUCCACAGGGUGUGAGGAACACAAAGAAAACCUUUCUUUUUGUCAGGAAUGAAAAUAUUUACCUUUUACUGUCUCACGCUGCUGCCUGUAUGACAGAAUAAACACUACCCAAGGAUUCUUCUGCUGCUUCUUAACUGAAAGGGGUACAAAUUUUUGUCCCAGGAAAAACAAUAGAGCCUUGGAGUUCAUUAAACAUCUAAAUCAAAGUACUCAUCACCAAUGCGCUUAGUUUUUGUCGCGCGUCUUAAAAAGCAGGGAGGUGUUCUUAAUAAUACUUUUCCUUUAAAAAAAAAAAAAAAAGUUUUCUCCAAAUGGGCUCCUACAGAGUCCAGCUAUUCACCCCGAGACAAUGCCGCGCUUUUACUGCCACAGGUUUAGGCAAAAAAACCACCCCAAAUCUUAAAGUCUAAAAACAACCAGAGGAUGCAGCUAUGUGAUUCUUCUCUAGUCGUAUCACGUCGGCCCAUUUACAACAUCACCCCCCAUAUUUAACAUUUAUAACCCCCUUCACACUCAUAAUUUAAAGAGUCGGUGGCUCCUUUUGUAAGCGAUCAGCUUCUUACCCCAGCACUUUACAUGCACUUCUUGACAAAAGAGACCUUUUACAUGUCAAUUUAUUUUCAGACAAGCAUAUCUGAAAGGGAGUUUCUCUCCGGAGUAGAAUUAGUAUUAAUGGCAGGUGUUCCAGUGUAGCACAAAAGGAGGAAGGCAGCAAGUUAGCUGAGCUUAAGUAGUCAGACAGCUUGAUGUUUUAAUAACCAGAGGCAAGAAAAUGGAGUGACAGUGGACCUCCAGCUUUUAUAGCAUGAAUGAAGGUUUUAUUCAGAGCCCCCUGUGUACUUGCAAAAGACGACCUUAAUAUACUUUAAAUGUUGUCUUUGCUUUAAAAGGGGAUUAAAUUGUUGAAUAUUACAUGAAAGCACAGCAUCCGCCCCACGUACCGUCACACACGCCGGCAGUCACCGAGCGUUUCCGAAGCCCCUGCUUUUCUGGGAAGGUGGCAGGGGCUGCCGCUAGGAGGUGGUGGCACCACGGAGGCCACCAGCUGCACCGUCCCCAGGCUUGCGUCUCACCCAUCUACAGACAGCAAAAGACGCAGGAGAAAGUUAGAAUUACGUGAACUAAUUUGGAGGUGGGGACUUGAAGAGGAUAUUUGCAUCGGCCAGACUGACGCUUAAAAUGCAGAUCAGUUGCUCGGUGAAAUUUCACUCAGGAAAAAAAAGGACGAUUGCUGAGAAAGUUACUGGCCUUCAGUUUUCAAGACAGCCCGAGUACUCACGAUGGGAAUAUUUAUCAGGCCAAAAUACGUUUAUUUAUGCUCUGUUUAAUUAGACAGAGGUCAGUACCGUGUCAUUAAGAGGAAGGCACGACUACUUUACACAGUGGGAAGAAGGAAAACAGCCUCUCAGCUGGGUCAACCUCUUUUACAACAGAAAACAUUGCUGAUUUAUGCCCCCAAAUCAGAAGGCUUAACCUUUCUUAUACAAAAGCUGGAUUCAUACAAAGAGAGAUGCUCAAUAUUAUUUCCAGGCUCCUUGUCUGCGGAUUAACACGAUAUUUCCAGGUAGACUCAGCGAUCAGAGGCUGGAUUCUGGGAUUUCUGCUCCCUUGAGCUUUCAUAUAGAUGUAUAGGACGAAAUCUUAAAGGUCAAGUUGCCUAUUAAACACCUGAAAUAACACAAGCAGUUUUCCUUCUAAAGAUUUCUCUGCGUGUGAAAAUUAAACACAUUUCUGUCCCUUUUCAAACUGAGAAGGAAGGUAGCCUGUGCAUCCUCUUUGACCCACGUUUGAGCUGAAUGGCCUCAAACUCUUGUGAGAACAGCCCUUUGGUCUUCUCCAAGGCAUCUGCUGGCUUCUCCCCAACAGGUUUAAGAGCCCCAGCUCAGCACAGGCCCCACUU